CAAUAGCGUAUAUUAAAGUUGUUGCGGUUAAAAAGCUCGUAGUUGGAUUUCUGCUGAGAACGACCGGUCCGCCCUCUGGGUGUGUAUCUGGCUCUUUCUUGGCAUCUUCUUGGUGAACGUUGCUGCACUUGACUGUGUGGAGCGCUACCCAGGACUUUUACUUUGAGGAAAUUAGAGUGUUUCAAGCAGGCAUACGCCUUGAAUACAUUAGCAUGGAAUAAUAAGAUAGGACCUCGGUUCUAUUUUGUUGGUUUCUAGAGCUGAGGUAAUGAUUAAUAGGGAUAGUUGGGGGCAUUCGUAUUUAACUGUCAGAGGUGAAAUUCUUGGACUUGUUAAAGACGGACUACUGCGAAAGCAUUUGCCAAGGAUGUUUUCAUUGA
rnacentral:rRNA from 1 species